rfam:Vibrio sp. J237 Contig_13, whole genome shotgun sequence.
UUUCAUCCACUUUGUUCGGUAAAGAUGAAAUUUUCCCCGGAAGUGAAAAAAAUAGUGCUCUGACUUGCGUCUUCUCCGUUUACUUACUACAAGUUAUGGGUAGUAUGUACGCGGCUAUUUUCCCGCUACUGGGAAU